UAGAUGGGCUAUCGAAGAAGAAGCAAUGCAGAGUCCGGAACGGGACAGCUAAGAUCGUUCUAACAUGGUGUUGAGUCGUCUUCUAUCCGCUCUGCUCAACAAAGCGCAAGUGGUGGAAAAACUGGCCGAGUUGCGACCUAUACGACGGGCCGCACAGCUCACCGCUUAUGCCUUGAUGAAGGCAAAAAUUGCCAGAAAAGAUGUGACAACCAAACUGCUGAAGUUCAAAACAGUUCGCCAGAUACGACAUGAGGCGUCGGGACUGCCUAAAAACGCCGGGGAGAUGGGGAGAAAAGCCGGAAGACUCCGGGAUUCUAUAGUAAAGGAUGUGAAAGACGGGAUAAGGGACACUUCGAGACAAGUUAAAGACAAGGACAAAUGAUGCUGUGUUCAACAACAAACCAAAUAGUAUAUUUUAAGGGCCUAAUUAAAGGCUAUCAUUAAUGGUCUUCUUUAGCUCUCAAAAAACGCUAUUCUGACGAGUAUUCAAAAUAAAAGCCGCAUUUCGAAACACU